UUUUCCUCGAAAUGCAUUAAAACGCAACAAUUUAUUGAACAUCUAGGGGUAAGCACUGUUUGGGUGCGGGCCGCGAGAGCAGUAGCAAAUAGAGGAAAACUCUAAAUACUAGAUAUGACCUCAAAACAACAGGGAUCAAGGUCGGCCAGUGAAAAGAUGGGGGAUAAACUUCAUUGCCGAGAGGGAAAUAGCCCGAAUCACUAGCUAAGGCUCCUAAAUGACCGCUCAGUGGUAAAGGAGGUAGGGGUGCAGAGACAGCCAGGAGGUUUUCCUAGAAACAGCCACCCUUGAAAGAAUGUGUAAUAGCUCAUUGAUUGAGAGCUCUUGUGCAGAAGAUGAACGGGGCUAAGCGAUUUGCCAAAGCAAUGGUAUGUAAAAUUGCAUCGGUAGGGGAGCGUUCCGUCUAGAAAAACCACCCCCGCGAGCAACGGUGGAUGAAGUAGAAGCG
rnacentral:rRNA from 1 species